AGAAUAGCGUGAACCCAGGAGGUAGAGCUUGCAGUGAGCCGAGAUUGUGCCACUGCACCUCCAGCCUGGGUGACAGAA
rnacentral:snRNA from 1 species